rnacentral:rRNA from 1 species
UGGGGAAUUUUGGACAAUGGGCGAAAGCCUGAUCCAGCCAUGCCGCGUGAGUGAAGAAGGCCUUCGGGUUGUAAAGCUCUUUUAGUCGGAAAGAAAGAGUUGCAAUGAAUAAUUGUGAUUUAUGACGGUACCGACAGAAAAAGCACCGGCUAACUACGUGCCAGCAGCCGCGGUAAUACGUAGGGUACGAGCGUUAAUCGGAAUUACUGGGCGUAAAGGGUGCGCAGGCGGUCUUGCAAGUCAGAUGUGAAAGCCCCGGGCUUAACCUGGGAAUUGCGUUUGAAACUACAAGACUAGAGUGCAGCAGAGGGGAGUGGAAUUCCAUGUGUAGCAGUGAAAUGCGUAGAGAUGUGGAAGAACACCGAUGGCGAAGGCAGCUCCCUGGGUUGACACUGACGCUCAUGCACGAAAGCGUGGGGAGCAAACA